ensembl:lncRNA
UGCAGGGUUGCAGGGUUGCGGCGCAGCUGUGCCGUAUUUGCAUGGGAAGGAAGAGGCCCUCGCUGAACUGUUGGCUGCUGGAGGGGAAACACUCUCCCCGGGGAAUAAGCUGAGAAGCGCACAGGCAACAGAUCUGGCGCCCACGCCCGUGAUAGAGAGAGAGAGAGAGAGAGAGAGAGAGAGAGGGAGAGAGAGGGAGAGAGAGAGAGGGGGGCUAGGGGCCAGAGAGGGGUGGGGUAUGUGUGUGUGUGUGUGUGUUGUGUGUGUGUGUGUGUCUGAGUUUAGGGGUGCGGUUUACGCACAUGGUCUGUCACGACGUGCAGGCAGGCAGCCUUGUCAUCUGGACUGGAGAAGAGUAACUUUGUUAGACACUUCAUUAAAGGGAGCAGAGCACUUCUCUCUAUCGGAGAAAAGAACGCAAAAUUCAGCACUCCACGGACUUUUGGCCUCCUGGUUUCAAGAGCUUUUCCGUCCAGACCGUGUCUUGUCCUCUGAAGUGUACUGCAUCUCUAGGGUUGUGGCCUCUGAAGUCUCCUGCAUCCUCAGGGUCGUGGCCUCUGAAGUCUCCUGCAUCCUCAGGGUCGUGGCCUCUGAAGUCUCCUGCAUCCUCAGGGUCGUGGCCUCUGAAGUCUCCUGCAUCCUCAGGGUCGCGGCCUCUGAAGUCUCCUGCAUCCUCAGGGUCUGCAACAUCCUUAAGGUUUCCCUGAGACUCCCCUGCAGCCUGUUAGACCAGUAAGGAAGUAAACAUGACCGAGGGCUACUCACCAAAGCCAGAUACGUUGGAGUUUGGGGUUUCUACGCAAACCCAGUCUGCCACGCAAGGCCUGUUUACAGGGGCCCCCUCCGUCUCUGGGUUUACAGAGGCCCCCACCGCCUCUGGGCUUACAGGGGUCCCCUCCGUCCCUGGGUUUACAGGGGUACCCUCCGUCUCUGAGGCAUUCACCACAGCACAUCCCAUUGGUAGCCAUUUCGAGGAUGAAGGGUCCAACAGCAUCAUCCUUAUAGGCGUGAUUCUAGCCACGCUGCUGGUGUUCCUGUGCAUGGCGCUGGUGUUCCGCUACAUGCUCAAGCACAAGGGCUCGUACCGUACCCACGAGGACAAGGAGAGCGACUGGGGCGACUCCGCCAACGCAGCUCUCAAAAGCGGCCAUUCUUUCGAAGAGGACCUGGAUGAAGGUGAGGGAGACUGUCACGUAUACAGUAGAAGUGCAAAUAUAUCAGCGCUGUUUUCAAAGGCUUCCCUCCUUUCCCGCAUGCUGUCACCUAAUUGAGAGUGAACUAUUUUAUCUGAGACGUGUUGAGUAAUGGAAACAAUGAAUUGGCAAAUGCCAGCGGGGAACAAUGUGCGUGGGUGCCCAUGAAGGAUUGUUUAUCCACUCCUAUUGUCUAUUGUUUUAUUGUCUUCCUGUCAGCUAGAACACACCUAGUGCGUGGAGAUUUGAAGGACGUCUCUUUUGUCUCUCUCUGUCUCUCCUUCUGUCUCUCUCAAUGUCUGCUUUCUAUCUAUCUCCCUCUCUAUCUCUCUGUCCCUCUCUCUCUCUCCCCCUCUCUCUCCCCCCCCUAUCUCUCCCUCUCUCCCCCUCUCUCUCUCUCCCUCUCCCCCUCUCUUUCUCCCUUUCUCUCUCCCCCUCCCUCUCCCUCUCUCUCUCUCUCUCCCUCUCUCUCUCUUAUAGAUGUUUGAAGGCCAUGGAAUGGCUGGGUGCUGGCCGCAGGGGCUGAUGAAUGACUCAUUGUGUCCACUGGACCAGUAACCUAAGAUGGGGGACAGAGACGGGGCUCCACUCGUGAUGCUGACGACCAAAUCCUCUCUUUUUUGUCAGGAUGUCUUUGUUGCUUUUUACAAUUCUUUCUCACAGUUAAGCAUACACACACACACACACACACACACACACACACACUCUGCCUCUCUUUCUCUUUCUGCUUAAAUCAAACACCAAAUCUCCAGUCCUGUCAAAUAAUUCAAUAAUAAUCAAUUACUGAAUGAAUUAUAAACGAAUACAAACAC